CGUAUCUGAUCGCUGAGAUUUUUGCUCUGAUGGUUGCUUCAAUGGAGGAGAUGAUUGCUUCAGGAGGUUUGAAGAUCUGCCUAUGCAACCUGUUGUUUCGUUCUGACCAAAUCAUGUACAUCGAGCAUUGCCAACAGAGGAUGGAGAGAUACCGCUGGUGGCGUGAUCUAUGCGUCAGUUGAAGGUCGGCGAUGGUUUGAUCCCAGGAGGCUGACGGCGAGAACCUGCUUCUCCGUGCUAUUGUCGACCAGAUAUGCCACGAAUAGCUACAUGUGAAAAAAAGAUGGUCGCGACUUUCUGGUGCAUUGUUACAGAGAAGACAUGAGGGAUCUGUAGCAAGUCCCCAGCUCAGCAAGCGGUCUCGGGUAGGACAUCGAUUUAGGAGCAGGAGCCACGAGAGAAAACUGUGCUUAGGAGUACCUUGUCUUAGCCAAACAAUGCUAAACCAGGGGACCAACGGAUUGUGAUGCGUAAGCUCGCAGAGAUGAAGCAUUGCAGGAGUACUUGUGCAUCUGAUCGAGCCGGUGGGAGUAUCCAAUCACCAUCAACGUAGAGGUCUGAGACGGUGGCGAGUCUUGGGAUGCCUAAUCUUGAGUGAGGCUGGAGUUGAAGAAAAUCUGAUAUAUUUCCAUAAGGGGACCAAUUAUCGCUCCAAAAACGAGCAUGUCUUCCAUUUCCUAGCUUGACAUGAAUCCAAUUGUAGACCAAUGGCCUUAAGCGAAGAAAGCGCUUGACAAGCCAGGAAUGAUUAUUUGAUUCUUUGAUUAUCCAGAAAUUGGAGCGAUCGCCAGAUAUAAUUUCUUCAACAAACCAAGCUACCCAUAUUGAACCAGAGCUGAAGAACAGUAGCCAGAUGAGCCUGAUAGAAGUGGCCUUGUUCCAGCUUACAAGAUCCCUGAUGCCUAACCCCCCUUCCUCCUUUGCGUGAACAAUGGUGUCCCAUGCUACACGAGCCGAGUGAUGUCCCUCUAAAGUCCCUUUCCACAGAGAGGGACUCCAAGGUAUCUGAUUGGGAGGGUUCCAUGAGACAGACCUGUUUCCUCAGCAAUUUCCGUAAUUUCUGUCUGCGGUAGCCCACAAGUGAAGAAGCAGUUUUUUGAUAGACUUACUCCAAGACCCGAGUGCCUUUCGAAUUCAUUUAGUACUUCCAACACUCCUUUAACUGAUUGUUUAUCUCCUUUGGUGAAUAUUAGCAGAUCAUCAGCGAAACAUAGGUGCGUUAGUUUACUAUCCUCGCAGUUUUGAUGGUAUCCAAAUCUUCCUUCUGUCGCUGCGUUGUUGAGGAGAGUAGAUAAGCAGUUCAUUGCAACUACAAACAAGUAAGGAGAUAGGGGAUCUCCUUGACGAAGACCCCUUUUGCUCUUGAAGUACCCUUGGACCGUUCCAUUGUAUCCUACCGAGAAAGAGGCAGUACAAACGCAAGCUUCCAACCAGCGGAUAUACAGUGUAGCCAAAACCGUAUUUUCAACAAGAAGGCGUCCCUGCACAAACGCUGUUUGAUUUGGGAGGAUGAGAUCAGGCAAAAGAGGCUUGAGGCAAUGAACCAGCAGCUUAGAGAUAGCCUUAUAGAGGGUGUUACAGCACGAGAUAGGCCUGAAAUCUCCUAUUGCAGAAGCUCCUGGUCUUUUUGGGACAAGGGUUAGGAUGGUGGAGUUUGCAGCUGAGGGGAGAAAAGCUGCUGAGAAAAAAGAUUUGAUUGCAUUUACAGUUUCUGCCCCUAGAAGAUUCCAAGCAGACUUGAAAAAUCCCGAACAUCAGGGAGUGUGAUCGUAGAUUGUGCUUGGGAGACCUGACAUCGGUGCUGGAUCAAUGAUUGGAACCAUUGGAGGGAGGAGAUCGAUUCUGGUAGAACUGCAGGGGAUAGGAGAGCCUGGAAGUGAGAAACAGCAUGAAGUCCCAUCGCUAGGGGGUCCGUAAUCAGAGCACCUGAUGGUAGCGAGAAUGAUCUGAUGGAGUUGAAAGAUGCUCGGACUUGGACUAGACGAUGAAAGUAUGUGGUGAUUGCCAUAUUUUCUUCAUUCCAACAACUACAUCAUUGUUUCUUCCUUCUUAGUUCCAACAAUCACAAGACUCACAACUCACUGCCGAAGAUUUGUUGAAAAAACAUGUUACUCAGUUGAAAAAUUCGGGAAGCUCCAGAAUAGUUGUGCACAAUAAAAAUGAUCAC